rnacentral:rRNA from 1 species
ACCUGCGGAAGGAUCAUUAACGAACGA